rnacentral:tRNA from 1 species
GCGGGAUUAGUUUAAUGGUAGAAUAUCAGUUUUCCAAACUGAGGGCGAGGGUUCGAUUCCCUCAUCCCGCA